GUGGGGAAUAUUGGACAAUGGGGGGAACCCUGAUCCAGCCAUGCCGCGUGUGUGAAGAAGGCCUUUUGGUUGUAAAGCACUUUAAGCGAGGAGGAGGCUACCGAGAUUAAUACUCUUGGAUAGUGGACGUUACUCGCAGAAUAAGCACCGGCUAACUCUGUGCCAGCAGCCGCGGUAAUACAGAGGGUGCAAGCGUUAAUCGGAUUUACUGGGCGUAAAGCGCGCGUAGGUGGCCAAUUAAGUCAAAUGUGAAAUCCCCGAGCUUAACUUGGGAAUUGCAUUCGAUACUGGUUGGCUAGAGUAUGGGAGAGGAUGGUAGAAGUCCAGGUGUAGCGGUGAAAUGCGUAGAGAUCUGGAGGAAUACCGAUGGCGAAGGCAGCCAUCUGGCCUAAUACUGACACUGAGGUGCGAAAGCAUGGGGAGCAAACAGGAUUAGAAACCCUGGUAGUCC
rnacentral:rRNA from 1 species